AAAUUGAAGAGUUUGAUCAUGGCUCAGAUUGAACGCUGGCGGCAGGCCUAACACAUGCAAGUCGAACGGUAACAGGAAGCAGCUUGCUGCUUUGCUGACGAGUGGCGGACGGGUGAGUAAUGUCUGGGAAACUGCCUGAUGGAGGGGAUAACUACUGGAAACGGUGGCUAAUACCGCAUAACGUCGCAAGACCAAAGAGGGGGACCUUCGGGCCUCUUGCCAUCAGAUGUGCCCAGAUGGGAUUAGCUUGUUGGUGAGGUAACGGCUCACCAAGGCGACGAUCCCUAGCUGGUCUGAGAGGAUGACCAGCCACACUGGAACUGAGACACGGUCCAGACUCCUACGGGAGGCAGCAGUGGGGAAUAUUGCACAAUGGGCGCAAGCCUGAUGCAGCCAUGCCGCGUGUAUGAAGAAGGCCUUCGGGUUGUAAAGUACUUUCAGCGGGGAGGAAGGUGUUGUGGUUAAUAACCGCAGCAAUUGACGUUACCCGCAGAAGAAGCACCGGCUAACUCCGUGCCAGCAGCCGCGGUAAUACGGAGGGUGCAAGCGUUAAUCGGAAUUACUGGGCGUAAAGCGCACGCAGGCGGUCUGUCAAGUCGGAUGUGAAAUCCCCGGGCUCAACCUGGGAACUGCAUUCGAAACUGGCAGGCUUGAGUCUUGUAGAGGGGGGUAGAAUUCCAGGUGUAGCGGUGAAAUGCGUAGAGAUCUGGAGGAAUACCGGUGGCGAAGGCGGCCCCCUGGACAAAGACUGACGCUCAGGUGCGAAAGCGUGGGGAGCAAACAGGAUUAGAUACCCUGGUAGUCCACGCCGUAAACGAUGUCUACUUGGAGGUUGUGCCCUUGAGGCGUGGCUUCCGGAGCUAACGCGUUAAGUAGACCGCCUGGGGAGUACGGCCGCAAGGUUAAAACUCAAAUGAAUUGACGGGGGCCCGCACAAGCGGUGGAGCAUGUGGUUUAAUUCGAUGCAACGCGAAGAACCUUACCUGGUCUUGACAUCCACAGAACUUUCCAGAGAUGGACUGGUGCCUUCGGGAACUGUGAGACAGGUGCUGCAUGGCUGUCGUCAGCUCGUGUUGUGAAAUGUUGGGUUAAGUCCCGCAACGAGCGCAACCCUUAUCCUUUGUUGCCAGCGAUUAGGUCGGGAACUCAAAGGAGACUGCCAGUGAUAAACUGGAGGAAGGUGGGGAUGACGUCAAGUCAUCAUGGCCCUUACGACCAGGGCUACACACGUGCUACAAUGGCGCAUACAAAGAGAAGCGACCUCGCGAGAGCAAGCGGACCUCAUAAAGUGCGUCGUAGUCCGGAUUGGAGUCUGCAACUCGACUCCAUGAAGUCGGAAUCGCUAGUAAUCGUGGAUCAGAAUGCCACGGUGAAUACGUUCCCGGGCCUUGUACACACCGCCCGUCACACCAUGGGAGUGGGUUGCAAAAGAAGUAGGUAGCUUAACCUUCGGGAGGGCGCUUACCACUUUGUGAUUCAUGACUGGGGUGAAGUCGUAACAAGGUAACCGUAGGGGAACCUGCGGUUGGAUCACCUCCUUA
rnacentral:rRNA from 1 species